rnacentral:sRNA from 1 species
CAGCAGCAAGCAUGCCGCCUCGAAGGAGA